rnacentral:rRNA from 1 species
UACGUAGGGGGCGAGCGUUGUCCGGAUUUAUUGGGCGUAAAGAGCUCGUAGGCGGCUUGUCGCGUCGACUGUGAAAACCCGCAGCUCAACUGUGGGCUUGCAGCCGAUACGGGCAGGCUAGAGUUCGGUAGGGGAGACUGGAAUUCCCGGUGUAGCGGUGAAAUGCGCAGAUAUCAGGAGGAACACCGGUGGCGAAGGCGGGUCUCUGGGCCGUAACUGACGCUGAGGAGCGAAAGCGUGGGGAGCGAACAGG